GGGAAGCUAUCGGAUACUGGGCGUAAGCGCACGCAGGCGGUCUGUCAAGUCGGAUGUGAAAUCCCCGGGCUCAACCUGGGAACUGCAUUCGAAACUGGCAGGCUAGAGUCUUGUAGAGGGGGGUAGAAUUCCAGGUGUAGCGGUGAAAUGCGUAGAGAUCUGGAGGAAUACCGGUGGCGAAGGCGGCCCCCUGGACAAAGACUGACGCUCAGGUGCGAAAGCGUGGGGAGCAAACAGGAUUAGAUACCCUGGUAGUCCACGCUGUAAACGAUGUCGAUUUGGAGGUUGUGCCCUUGAGGCGUGGCUUCCGGAGCUAACGCGUUAAAUCGACCGCCUGGGGAGUACGGCCGCAAGGUUAAAACUCAAAUGAAUUGACGG
rnacentral:rRNA from 1 species